AGGGAAUCUUCCGCAAUGGACGAAAGUCUGACGGAGCAACGCCGCGUGAGUGAUGAAGGUUUUCGGAUCGUAAAACUCUGUUGUUAGGGAAGAACAAGUACCGGAGUAACUGCCGGUACCUUGACGGUACCUAACCAGAAAGCCACGGCUAACUACGUGCCAGCAGCCGCGGUAAUACGUAGGUGGCAAGCGUUGUCCGGAAUUAUUGGGCGUAAAGCGCGCGCAGGCGGUUCCUUAAGUCUGAUGUGAAAGCCCCCGGCUCAACCGGGGAGGGUCAUUGGAAACUGGGGAACUUGAGUGCAGAAGAGAAGAGUGGAAUUCCACGUGUAGCGGUGAAAUGCGUAGAGAUGUGGAGGAACACCAGUGGCGAAGGCGACUCUUUGGUCUGUAACUGACGCUGAGGCGCGAAAGCGUGGGGAGCAAAC
rnacentral:rRNA from 1 species